rnacentral:rRNA from 1 species
CGAACGCUGGCGGCGUGCUUAACACAUGCAAGUCGAACGAUGAAGCGGUGCUUGCACCGUGGAUUAGUGGCGAACGGGUGAGUAAUACGUGAGUGACCUACCUUUGACUCUGGGAUAAGCCUGGGAAACUGGGUCUAAUACCGGAUACGACCAAUCUCUGCAUGGGGUGUUGGUGGAAAGCGUUAUGGAGUGGUUUUAGAUGGGCUCACGGCCUAUCAGCUUGUUGGUGAGGUAAUGGCUUACCAAGGCGACGACGGGUAGCCGGCCUGAGAGGGUGACCGGCCACACUGGGACUGAGACACGGCCCAGACUCCUACGGGAGGCAGCAGUGGGGAAUAUUGCACAAUGGGCGCAAGCCUGAUGCAGCGACGCCGCGUGAGGGAUGACGGCCUUCGGGUUGUAAACCUCUGUUAGCAUCGAAGAAGCGAAAGUGACGGUAGGUGCAGAGAAAGCGCCGGCUAACUACGU